CGCAAACUCUGAAACGAAUGUUUAAAGACCACUAGAAAGGCAGCUUCACACAAGAAACAACUUAUAAGUCCAUCGAAGUGCAUUCCUUAUGCUUGAAACAUUAAAAAUAACCAUCUUACAAUACUAACAUGCAAUCAACAAAUUGAAUGCUUACUUAUUUCUCGAAUCAUUAGGUGAAAACUUCAUCAAGCAAUAAAGAUAAACUGUCCGCUCCUCGUCAUUUAAUUGACUCGCAACAAGCUGGGGAUCACCAACGUAUGGGCACUCAUUUUGGCAAUCUGACUCCUCCUCAGUCUAUACUUGCUCAUUGCGCUACAAACUUGCAUAACGUCCAACAUGACAUUUUCGGUCAUAGUCUCAUGCCUAGUGGAGAG
rnacentral:lncRNA from 1 species